UGCGCCGUAUUCAGAGUAACGGUCCAGCUUCCUGGCAACACGAACCAGUCGGAGGAGCCGUGCCGUCUUCAACAAGCCAAUCAGAGUGGUCGUUUGGGAAAGAGAAGGUUAUAAAUGGCUCAGAUGGAGUAGCUGUCACUGGAAUGGACCACAGAGCGGGGAAACCAUAUGCUCCAAUGUGCCAAGAGCUCAUGAUAGGCCAUUGACGGACGUGACCACAUAAACAAGCGAGGAAUCGAGCCAACCCGCGUGCCAGCGAUUCAGCCUGUCGAAGGGAAUGGCUGCCACCAUGUCUAUAAGGAACCAGCCUUUAAAGUAAUGGAUGGCGAUCUUCCCCGGAUGGCUCACCACCUCCUCGUUCAAGUUGACGAAGGCAGCAGAGUACGGGGUGAGAAUGGCUGUGUAAAUCACCAGCAGCAGGAUGAGCCAGUCCCACACCGCUUUGAAAGGGCUGUAGUGCAGGAUGGUGAACUUAUCCAUGCGUGGCGUUUGGAGCAUGUAUUCUGGAAGCACAUCGGCACCCAGUGACAACACCUGGAACAAGAGAGGCAGGCAAAAACGCUCUCACGCAUCCAGGCAGGUAAUGUGAGAAUCGCUCAGUGAACGAGUCGAUGACUCUGAAGUGAGGACUCGUGUUGUUUGGAUGGGCUGUCAUCCACUUCCUUCACGGCUGGUCAGGAGACGGACACGUUACCAUGAGGUUUGACC